GCCUGUCACACAUUCUCUUUUUAGUUUGAUUCGUCUCUGAAGACGUUUUGAUUGUUUGUGUGAAAUUCUCGGGAAGUUUUCUCCUUCAGCUGUUGGAUUUAGGAGUUAUUGUUAUUGCUUGUUAUAUGUUUGCUUCUGCUUGAUGUCGCUUUCUGAAAGGGAAGUGCUUAGCUCACUAUACCUCAUGUACAUCCUACUCACUUGUGAUUGGUUCUUUUUUUUUUUUUUCUAUGUGUUUCUUUGCUGCUGUGGAGGUAGUGAGGAGAGAUUAUGCAAAAUACUCGCCUCCUGACAUUACUAAAAUUAAUAUUAUUAGUAAACUAAAGCUAGUUUAAUCUUCAAUUGUUUUUGAUCAGAGUGCAACAAUAUCUAUACCUCAUAAUGUCAAACAAGAAUAUUUGGCAGUUUUUUUUUUAAUUAAAAUUGAAUCAAAAAGAAUAUAUCUG